AGCAGUGAGGAAUAUUGGUCAAUGGGCGAGAGCCUGAACCAGCCAAGUAGCGUGCAGGACGACGGCCCUAUGGGUUGUAAACUGCUUUUGUAUGGGGAUAAAGUCAGUCACGUGUGAUUGUUUGCAGGUACCAUACGAAUAAGGACCGGCUAAUUCCGUGCCAGCAGCCGCGGUAAUACGGAAGGUCCGGGCGUUAUCCGGAUUUAUUGGGUUUAAAGGGAGCGUAGGCUGGAGAUUAAGUGUGUUGUGAAAUGUAGACGCUCAACGUCUGACUUGCAGCGCAUACUGGUUUCCUUGAGUACGCACAACGUUGGCGGAAUUCGUCGUGUAGCGGUGAAAUGCUUAGAUAUGACGAAGAACUCCGAUUGCGAAGGCAGCUGACGGGAGCGCAACUGACGCUGAAGCUCGAAGGUGCGGGUAUCGAACAGGCCCAGA
rnacentral:rRNA from 1 species